rnacentral:tRNA from 1 species
GCGGCCGCCGAAGCGGAUCGGCCUUCUAAGCCGAGGGUCGGGGGUUCGAGCCCCUCCUGUCGCG